rnacentral:rRNA from 1 species
GAUGAACGCUAGCUAUAGGCUUAACACAUGCAAGUCGAGGGGAAACGGCAUUAUGUGCUUGCACAUUUUGGACGUCGACCGGCGCACGGGUGAGUAUCGCGUAUCCAACCUGCCCUUUACUUGGGUAUACCCCGUUGAAAGACGGCCUAAUACCCGAUGUAAUUCAUUGAUGGCAUCAGAUAUGAAUAAAUGAUUUAUCGGUAAAGGAUGGGGAUGCGUCUGAUUAGCUUGUUGGUGAGGUAACGGCUUACCAAGGCGACGAUCAGUAGGCGUUCUGAGAGGAAGCUCCACUAGAUCUGAACCACGACACAGACCCAACCGGUACGGGGGGCAGGGGUAACGUACACAAGUGAAUGGAGGCUAACCUGAACCAGCCGAGUAGGGGACAAGAAGACUGCGCUAUGAGUUCUAAGCUGCUUUUAUACAAGAAUAAUUUGAUGCACUUGCGACUUAUUGAAGGUACCGUAUGAGUAAGGACCGGCUAAUUCCGUG